GGGCCGGUAGCUCAGUCGGUAGAGCAUUUGACUUUUAAUCAAAGGGUCGCGGGUUCGAGUCCCGCCCGGCUCACCA
rnacentral:tRNA from 5 species